CACGUAGGGCGCAAGCGUUGUCCGGAAUCAUUGGGCGUAAAGAGCGUGUAGGCGGCUUGUUAAGUCUUGCGUGAAAUCUCGGGGCUCAACCCCGAGCGGUCGUGAGAAACUGGCAGGCUAGAGUGCGGGAGAGGAGAGUGGAAUUCCUGGUGUAGCGGUGAAAUGCGCAGAUAUCAGGAAGAACACCCGUGGCUAAGGCGGCUCUCUAGUACGUGACUGACGCUGAGACGCGAAAGCGUGGGGAGCGAACAGG
rnacentral:rRNA from 1 species